AACUCUGAGAGAUUGAUCACUCGGCUCAUGUGUCGAUAAAGAAUGCAGCUAGCUGCGGGAACUAAUGUGAAUUGCAGGACACAUUGACCAUCAACACUUUGAACACACUUUGUGGCCCCAGGUUACUCCUGGGGCUACGCCUGUCUGAGGGUUG